rnacentral:rRNA from 1 species
AUUGAACGCUGGCGGCAGGCCUAACACAUGCAAGUCGAACGAGUGGCGGACGGGUGAGAAAUGUCUGGGAAACUGCCUGAUGGAGGGGGAUAACUACUGGAAACGGUAGCUAAUACCGCAUACCAUCGGAUGUGCCCAGAUGGGAGGAGCUUGUAGGUGGGGUAACGGCUCACCUAGGCGACGAUCCCUAGCUGGUUGGAGAGGAUGACAAGCCACACUGGAACUGUGACACGGUCCAGACUCCUACGGGAGGCAGCAGGGGGGAAUAUUGCACAAUGGGCGCAAGCCUGAUGCAGCCAUGCCGCGUGUGUGAAGAAGGCCUUCGGGUUGUAAAGCACUUUCAGCGGGGAGGCGUUACCCGCAGAAGAAGCACCGGCUAACUCCGUGCCAGCAGCCGCGGUAAUUC